UACGUAGGUGGCAAGCGUUGUCCGGAUUUACUGGGCGUAAAGGGAGCGUAGGCGGAUAUUUAAGUGGGAUGUGAAAUACCCGGGCUUAACCUGGGUGCUGCAUUCCAAACUGGAUAUCUAGAGUGCAGGAGAGGAAAGGAGAAUUCCUAGUGUAGCGGUGAAAUGCGUAGAGAUUAGGAAGAAUACCAGUGGCGAAGGCGGCUUUCUGGACUGUAACUGACACUGAGGCUCGAAAGCGUGGGGAGCAAACAGG
rnacentral:rRNA from 1 species